AGUUGGGAAACUGAGGCACAAAGAAGGAAAGCAGUCUGCCCAAGGCAGUGAGGAAAAUCUUCGGCAAGGUUGGCAACUUCCAAAAGAUCAUCUGAGUUACUGCCAAAUCUCUUGAUACCCGCAGUGCUCUCCGACAGAAGACAGUGACAUGACAGGAAUGGUGACACAAGGCUCUUACUGUUACAUUCAAUAAUUGAUUCUUCUGGAUGGAUUGUGACUCCCUAAAGGUUGCAAAGAGAGUAAUUUUAAGUGGGUUUGGUAAUGCUGAACGCUGAAUUGGGAAUCACCAUAUGAAAAACCUGAUUGUGUCUAUUUUUAUGAUUGCCACAAACUCCCCAUAGGAAAUCCAGAUAAAAGGGAAAACAUUGCAAAAACUGGUCAAGUUACAAAAUGAUUAGUGGACACCGACAUCUAAAUCGGUAGUAAAAGGAAAAGCAGGAACCCAGGACAGUGGGGAAGGACUCCAGCAAUGCCAACAUAAAGAGUUGAAUUAUCCUGCUAUUUAUCAAGAAGAAAAGAAGAGCAAAAGAUCAUUGGUUUAAUGGACAUGUUUUGGAUUUCCACUGGCAUCCUAGAAGCAGAAUUGUCCCCUGUGGAUGUAGAAGUAUCAUGGUAACUCUCCCCAGGUUGCAUCUGCCAUCUCAUCAGAGCAAUCUGACUGUACAGUGCACUGAAGAAACUGCAUAAUAUUUCCAGUGGCUUGGAUUUUUCACUUGAUAUAUAGCAAAUAUAUGAAUAAUGGCUGAAGUAUUGGUUGAGGAAGGAUGGCAGUGACUCCUGGGUGAGUGUCCCCUGAAUCUGCUGCUGUUCUGCAGGACCCAGCAGAAUCCCAGUUUCAAAAUAGAGAGAGUGCAAAAUUCAUCCACCAGCCUUUGCCAUGUUGUGAACAUCCCCAGUCUGUUUCCUCUGGAAGAACUCCAAGUGGCUUGAAAGUUUGGAGCUGAUGGAUGUACAAAUCAGGCCAUAGCAGCACACGCAGCUCAGAUGAGGGAGCCCUAUUCCGAUGGAAACAUCUGGUUUCAUUACACCAGCUUAAGUAUUUGUUUGAUAGAGGAAGUUUUGGCUGCGGAGGGGUGACCCAGAGCAGUUUGACACAGCGAGGACUGCGGGAGGUCUGGCACCCGUCCCUGCUCCCCACCUGCC